rnacentral:rRNA from 1 species
UACGAAGGGGGCGAGCGUUGUUCGGAAUUACUGGGCGUAAAGGGCGCGUAGGCGGCCGAUCAAGUCAGAUGUGAAAUCCCCAGGCUUAACCUGGGAACUGCGUCGGAUACUGGAUGGCUUGAAUCCGGGAGAGGGAUGCGGAAUUCCAGGUGUAGCGGUGAAAUGCGUAGAUAUCUGGAGGAACACCGGUGGCGAAGGCGGCAUCCUGGACCGGUAUUGACGCUGAUGAGCGAAAGCCAGGGGAGCAAACGGG